rnacentral:lncRNA from 1 species
UAUGGUGGGAGUUCUAGAUUUUCAAAGGCCUGGAUGUCAUAUCACUCACCUUUGCCAUCAGAAUACGAGCUCUCUCCAGGUUAAAUCUUACUAAGCUUCUCCUGGACUCAAAUAUGAGGCCAUUUCUGAUAAGCCAAAUAUAAUAGACCAUAUAUGUAGCAUAAGAAACCAUCACACCAGAGACAGCUCCCACAAUCCUAUGAAGGUGCUUCAAGAAUGCCUGAGUAGGAGCUGCAGUCUGAAUAAAAUGCUGGUGCAGUCCAGCAAGAUGCCAAACUUGCCUGGUCCUUGGGCACAAAAAUAAAAUAUGCUCUACCUUCUUUUCCUCUAACUCACAUCAUGGGCAAGUCGGCUUGAUCUCCAUACCUUGGCCCCUCAGAAUCGAUCUCAUAGAAAGUCGAUUCUAUGCCACCUUCUAAAGAAAAAGGCUCAUCUGCCAAUGUACCUCUACCUUCUCUUCCUUUAACUCACCGUAUGGGCAAGUCGACUGGAUCUCCAUACCCUGGCCCCUCAGAAUCGAUCUCGUCGAAAGCUGAUCUUAUGCCACAUUCCAAAGAAAGAGGCUCACCCACUAAUAU